rnacentral:rRNA from 1 species
CAAAAACAUGGUUUUUUGAAUUAUAAUUUAAGAUUGGUUCUGCUCACUGAAAUUAUUUUUAAAGAGCUGCAGUAUCUUGACUGUGCAAAGGUAGCAAAAUCAUUUGUUUUUUAAUUGUGAACUGGAAUGAAAGAUCUGAUGAAAUAUAUACUGUCUCUACUUAAUUUAUAGAAUUUAAAUUUUAAGUUAAAAUGCUUAAAUUAAAUUAUUAGACGAGAAGACCCUAUAGAAUUUGAUACACUUAAUUGAUUUUCUUGUUUGAAAAAAUUGUUAAGAGGUUAAUUAUGAGUAUUUGAUUGGGAGGAUUAUUAAAUUUUAUUAACUUUAAUUUUGAAAUUAAACAUUGAUUUUUGGGUUUAUGAUUUUAAAAUGAUUAGAAGAUAGAAUUACCUUAGGGAUAACAGCGUAAUGUUUUUGGAGAGUUCUUAUUAAUAAAAAUGUUUGCGACCUCGAUGUUGAAUUAAGAUAAAAAUUAAAUGCAGAAGUUUAAUAUUUAAGUCUGUUCGACUUUUAAAAUCUUACGUGAUCUGAGUUC